rnacentral:rRNA from 1 species
AUUGAACGCUGGCGGCAUGCUUUACACAUGCAAGUCGAACGGCAGCGCGGGCUUCGGCCUGGCGGCGAGUGGCGAACGGGUGAGUAAUGCAUCGGAACGUGCCCAGUAGUGGGGGAUAGCCCGGCGAAAGCCGGAUUAAUACCGCAUACGACCUGAGGGUGAAAGCGGGGGACCGAAAGGCCUCGCGCUAUUGGAGCGGCCGAUGUCGGAUUAGCUAGUUGGUGGGGUAAAGGCUUACCAAGGCGACGAUCCGUAGCUGGUCUGAGAGGACGACCAGCCACACUGGGACUGAGGCACGGCCCCGACUCCUAAGGGAGGCAGCAGUGGGGAAUUUUGGACCAUGGGGGCAACCCUUAUCCAGCCAUGGCGCGUGCGGGAAGAAGGGCUUCGGGUUGUAAACCGCUUUUGUUCGGGAAGAAAUCCUCUGGGCUAAAACCCCGGGGGGAUGACGGUACCGGAAGAAUAAGCACCGGCUAACUACGUG